ACACCCAGCCUGGAAAUUACUUCAUUCUGAAUGUGUCAUCUUUUUUACUAAGAUAAUCAUUUUUCUUUUAUUCACAUUGUUUUAAAUAGAGUGCUUUGGAUACAAAGACUAUUAGGAACUGUUCAUAAAUUGUUGGUUUUGAAGAUUGAAUUGCGCUGAAGGAGAUGCAGCAGAAAGGGAAAUCAGAGAGAUUCCAAGCAUAAGAAGGAUUUGGUGCACUGUUGCUGGUUCUGAGAUGGAGGAAGCCACGUGCAAAGACUGAAGAGAGGCCUGUGGAAACUGAGGAUGGCCUGCAGUUGACAGCCUGCAAAGAAAUGGAAUCUCAGUCAUAUAACUGCAAGGAAUUAGACUCUGCCAACGUCAGUGAGCUUGGAAGCAGAUUCUUUCCUAGAGCCCUAGUCAGGGACACAGCUUUGCUGACACCUGGAUUUUAGCCUGGCGAAAUCUGUGUGGGACUUCUAACCCACAGAAGUGUGAGAUAAUAAACGGAUGUUUUUCUUUUUUUUUUUUUUUUAUUAUACUUUGAGUUCUAGGGUACAUGUGCAUAAUGUGCAGGUUUGUUACAUAUGUAUACUUGUGCCAUGUUGGUGUGCUGCAACGGAUGUUUUUCUAAGCCACUAAACUUGUAGUAAUCUGUUAUGGCAACAAUAAAAAAUGAAGACAAAG